rnacentral:tRNA from 1 species
GUGGGCGUGCCGGAGUGGUUAUUGGGCAUGACUAGAAAUCAUGUGGGCUUCGCCCGCGCAGGUUCGAAUCCUGCCGCUCACG